CUGGAGGGAUGGUGAAGGGGCCGGUGGGGCUGGGGCAGAGUGAAUGGGGAAGGGGGAUGGAGAGGAGAUGAGGUCUAAGAGAACUUGGGUUGUGCAGGGACCCCUAGGUCACUUCAAAGACGCUGGCCUGAAUGAGAUGUGUUGCUAAUGGGCGGUUUUGGUGUAGGCCAGAUCUCCAAUUUUGUUUUGAAAGGAUUAUUCAAGCUGCUGUGAUGAGAAAGGGCUGGAGGAGGAGCAAGCCCAGUGAGGAGGCAACUGGGAUUACACAGUUUCCAUGGCGACAUUGGGAGCCACAUGUUGAAGAUAGGGGAGCCACAAGAUGGAAGCAGUCUAGACCUCUCAAUCACCCCUUGGAGAAGGGACACCUGCUAAUCAGAACCCUGCAUUAGGCUUCACAUGAGUGAGAAAUAAAUCUCGGUUGUGUUUGGAGCUCAGUAUUUAAUCAUCUGCUGAAAAGACUAAGACAGCAAGAGUGGGCUUUGGCUUGGCAGCCUGGAACAGCUGUCCCUGGUGGGCAGAGCACAUCUAGAAUCAGGGGACAAAUAGCAGGUCCCCUCCCUUGAAGCCCCAGCCACACUGGAGAGAUGAGACUUCCUUAAUGUGCGGACAGAUUC